UUUUUUUUUGGGUUUUCGCUCCCUCGCAGAUAGAUAUCCAUUUUUUUAUUCCCAUUUCUUUCUUCGUUCGCUUUUCGUUUUCCAGUCUUCAAAAACCAGACACGCGCCACUGUUGCUAGAUUCACACCAACGCUCUCUUUUUUCGUUUUAUUUUCUUUCUCCUCUGCCCCGGACUCCGAUUCCGGGUCGGGUUGUGCCCGUUUUAACGACAGUGAUGGGCGAUCUUCAUGCAAACGGUAUCGUUUUCGGGGAGGAUCGCCCGUGCGGGUCCUCGCCGCCGUCUCCGCCGCUUCCGAUUUCAAAUCCCGAUCCGUCCUCCGUGGCGGCGGAUGCCUGGGCGGCGGCCGAGCAAACCACCGGCGAGAUUCUCCGCAGCAUACAGCCCACGCUCGCCGCCGACCGGAGGCGGAGGGAGGUCGUCGAUUACGUCCAGAGGCUCAUUCGGUACGGCGCGCGCUGCGAGGUUUUUCCAUAUGGAUCAGUUCCAUUAAAAACAUAUCUUCCAGAUGGAGAUAUUGAUUUAACUGCACUCAGUUGUCAAAACAUUGAGGAUGGCUUGGUAUCUGAUGUUCGUGCUGUUCUUCAUGGAGAGGAAAUUAAUGAAGCAGCUGAAUAUGAAGUGAAGGAUGUUCGUUUCAUUGAUGCAGAGGUUAAGCUUGUUAAAUGCAUAGUACAGGAUAUUGUUGUAGACAUCUCUUUCAAUCAGUUAGGAGGACUCAGUACAUUAUGCUUUCUUGAGAAGGUUGAUCAACUUGUUGCCAAGGAUCAUCUUUUCAAACGUAGUAUUAUCCUGAUUAAAGCUUGGUGCUAUUAUGAGAGCCGUGUACUGGGUGCUCAUCAUGGUCUGAUUUCAACAUAUGCUUUGGAAACCUUGGUUCUGUAUAUUUUCCAUCAGUUUCAUGUAUCCUUAGAUGGUCCUCUAGCAGUUCUCUACAGAUUUUUGGACUACUUCAGCAAAUUUGAUUGGGACAACUAUUGUGUUAGUUUGAAGGGACCAGUUAGCAAAUCUUCUCUGCCUAAUAUAGUAGCUGAGGUUCCUGAAAAGGGAGGAAAUACCCUACUGACUGAAGAAUUCAUUAGAAGCUGUGUGGAAUCAUUCUCAGUACCAUCAAGAGGGCCUGAUUUAAAUUUGCGUGCAUUUCCCCAGAAACAUCUUAACAUCAUUGAUCCAUUGAAGGAAAACAACAAUCUUGGCCGGAGUGUCAAUAAAGGGAACUUUUUCCGAAUACGCAGUGCUUUUAAGUAUGGUGCCCGUAAACUUGGCUGGAUUCUUAUGUUAUCAGACGAUAAAAUAGAAGAUGAGCUUAUUAGGUUCUUUGCAAACACCCUGGAAAGGCAUGGAAGCACUCAGGUGAAUAUAGACAAGUCAGUUUUGAGCUCAUCUACAGCAUCCAAAAGGGAUGCAGGACCUGGAAAUCAACAUAAUUAUGAAAGCAGAGAGGAAAUCCAAGAUGACUCCUCUUUGGCAGGGGAGUUCCUUGAUUCCUCUGGGGAUGGAAAUGCAGUCGCAAGUUAUAAACUUAGUGAAGAUUCUAGGGAUUUUGCAACAUCUGGGGUAUUGGAUAUAGCAAGCGCUAAUGAUUUGUCAUAUUGUUCAAAUGGGCGAAUUGAAAGUAAUAUUUCAAGCAGUGAACCUGCUCUAAAUACUGUUAUUGAUGAAGGUAUAGUGAGCAAUUCUCCCAGAUCACAUACUGAUGAAAAGAAUAUGGCAUCUUAUGGUUCAGCUGUUUCAACAUAUGCUAAUAUCCUUGAAAAUAAUUUUUUUCAUGGUGAUAGAUACACCACUAGUGUUUCUGGGGGUACUGAAGCUUCAAUGUCGUUGUUGGACCUUACUGGGGAUUAUGACAGUCACAUCGGAAACUUACAAUAUGGUCAGAUGUGUAAUGGUUAUACUGUCUCUCCUGUUGUGCCUAGCCCUCCUAGAUCUCCGAAGUUCCCAAAAAAUAGGAAUCCAUGGGAAACUGUUCGUCAAUGUGUACAAAUUAAUCACAGUCUUCGAUCUCAGGCAAACUCAAAUUGUGUCAUUGGGCAACAAGUUUACGUCAUAAAUCAUCCUACACUUCCAAUGACAACUUUUGCUUCAGAAGAAAAAAGGAAAAUUCGAGGAACAGGCGCAUACUUUCCUAACAUGACUUCUCGUCCGUACAGGGAUAAUAGGCCAAUUCCAGGAAGGGGAAGGGGCCAAGCACCAGGUUCUCAUGGGCAUCUGCAGAGACACACUCGUAACAAUGGCUUGGCCCUAGCUCCACAAGAAAUGAAUUUGUCUUCGGAAGGAACCUUUGAAUAUUCUCUAGAAGGAUACUCUCCUAUUGGUAGCACCAAAGCAAGAUCAUCUGAAACCUAUUUCCCUCAACCUUCUACAUGGGGGUCACAUUAUACCAACGGUUUCCUUCACUCAUCUGAGAAACUUGAAUCUGGAUCUGUGGUCCCUCAGCUUCGUGUAGCCUCAAGAACUGACAUGAGCAAUUACCCAGACUCUGGGAUUUCUACAUCUAGGGGCACUGUGCCUAACACGGGGGUGGUGACAGAGGAGAAGCCUAAUUCAUUGUCUGUAGUUGAUUCCAAAAGGAUUGACGAGCAAGCUUAUCAUUUGAAGAAUGAAGAUGACUUUCCUCCACUUUCCCACUGAGUGCCAGUGAAGGAUGGUGAAUAUGUAAUAGCAUUAGCAGUAAUGGUCAAUACAUGGAAACUAUUAUGACUUGCCUACCUUUCAGCAGGUGCUACCAAAGGAUGGUGAUUUUGUAAGAAGUAAGAACAAUGUGCAUUCGUCUCAAAAAAGAAGAUAGCUUCCCUCGACACUGGGUCUCUCCUAGAGAUUGGAGAACAGAUAGAAAUGAGAGUACCAAAUAAGUAGAAAACUGCUGGGAGUAGCCUUAGAAACUAACGAAAUAGACUAAACUAGAUGGAGUGUUAUGUUAUCCGUGUUCCCUCUUUUCUUCAUUUGGUCCUUUGUACAAAAGCAGUGUCUCUGGUGGAGUUCUUGGCCAUUCGAAUUGCCUUGAUGACGCCCCCCAGAAAAAUUCGUGGUAGUAAUCAUCAUGUUGUGUAGCUCAUAAUGAUAAGAUUUUGUGAAUAGACGUAGGCUUGAUUGAAUAUAAUCCAGCCAAAAGCAGGAUUCAAAUAGAAGAAUUAGCAUAAUUUUUUGUUUGAAUGUGAGCUGUAUUUUUACACUAGUGAAGAUUUUAUGGUUGUACAUAAACUAGUUUUAUCUUGGUAGGAUGUUUUAUCAGGCUAUUUGGUGCGAAGAGAAACCCGAGUAGAAUUGCCUUGUACUGUUUUUGUUGUCUACAUUGUUUUUUAGUAGAACUAAAAUAUGUCAUUUUCCAAACUUUUUUUUAAGCGAAUAUCUUAAAAUUCAAAGAUUA